rnacentral:lncRNA from 1 species
AUUCAUAUGCAUGAUGGGAAUUAUUUACAGAAUGGUGGUCAUAGCUUGUAAGAAUCUCUCAGACUAUAAUAUUAUCACAUCUGAGGUUGAUGAUGCAAAUCAGUUAAUUCUACACCUUACUCCCACCACACCCCUCCACUGUGCUGAGUAUCUUCCAUUUCCUCCUUUAAAUCCUUCUCCAUACAGCUUUCUGGCCCCAAGAGGCUGACUGGUACGGACAAGGUCAACAGGUUUCCAUGUCCUCUGACUUCUUGUUGAAUUCAGUCAAUGGGGAGGAGGGAAGAUGUAAAGUUUACAAAGAGUAACAAUGGACUGUGAUAAAGAUUCAAGAUUCCAGUGCUUCCUUCUAAAAUUGAAUUAUUCAGCUUUAUCACUUGAAACUGUAGAGUAUAAUGACAAUAUUGUCCCUCAACAGACAGUCCUCCCUCCUGUUUUCCAGGAUGAUAUAUAUGCUGCUUUCAUCUUGUUGAGGGGUAAACAAUCACUCUGUCAUUCUCCCAGUGCAUACAUGUUAAUAAAUUUAUAUGCCUUUUCUCCAAUUUAUCUGCCUUUUGUGAGUAUAUUUUUCAAAGGGCUAAGGAGAAAGCUCUCCCCGAUUCCUACAACCCUUAUGUGCAACAUAUGCUUUAAUAUGCUUACAUACAAGCAAAGCAAAUAAUAACAAUAAUAUGAAAAAAGACAGAGAGGAAUUAGAAUUAUUUAGUUAUUAGGUACCUGCACUACCUGUGAGAAUGUGAGCACCACUAUUACAAGGUAUAAUACUCAUAUGCUCAUAGUAUAGUGUUAUUUGAAAGUAGACUUGGAUUAGUUGUAAAUUUAUGUUGCAAAAUUUAGGGGAACCAAUAAAUAUAUACACAUAUAUACAAUUUUUUUUUUUUUCUGAGAUGGAGUUUUGCUCUUGUUGCUGAGGCUGGAGUGCAACGGCAUGAUCUUGGCUCACCACAACCUCUGCCUCCCGGGUUCAAGCAAUUCUCCUGCCUCAGCCUCUCGAGUGGCUGGGAUUACAGGCAUGUGCCACCAUGCCUGGCUAAUUUUGUAUUUUUAGUAGAGACAGGGUUUCUCCAUGUUGGUCAGGCUGGUCUCAAACUCCCGACCUCAGGUGAUCCACCCACCACGGCCUCCCAAAGUGCUGGGAUUACAGGUGUCAGCCACCGCACCUGACCAAAAAUAUUAUUUUUAAGUAGUAAAACUCAUAUACUAAAAAAAGGAGAGAAAAAAGAUCAUAUAAAAUACUCAAAACUUGAAAAUGCAGAAAAAGAUUGGAAGACAAAAAUAGGAACAAAGAACUAGAGCAAUAAGUAGAAAACAGUAACAGAUAUAGUAGAUAUUAAUCUAAUUAUAUCAGUAAUCACUUUGAAUGUCAU